rnacentral:rRNA from 1 species
AUUGAACGCUGGCGGCAGGCCUAACACAUGCAAGUCGAGCGAGCGGCGGACGGGUGAGUAAUGUAUGGGGACUGCCCGAUAGAGGGGGAUAACUACUGGAAACGGUGGCUAAUACCGCAUACUAUCGUUUAACCCAUAUGGGAUUAGCUAGUAUGUGGGGUAAAGGCUCACCUAGGCGCCGAUCUCUAGCUGGUCUGAGAGGAUGAUCAGCCACACUGGGACUGCGACACGGGCCAGACUCCUACGGAGGCAGCAGUGGUGAAUAGUGCACAAGGGGCGCAAGACUGAUGCAGCCAUGCCGCGUGUAUGAAGAAGGCCUUAGGGUUGUAAAGUACUUUCAGCGGGGAGGCGUUACCCGAAGAAGAAGCACCGGCUAACUCCGUGCCAGCAGCCGCGGUAAGUG